rnacentral:rRNA from 1 species
AGUGAAUAGAUACCCGGGUAGUCCAUGCUGUAAACGAUGGAUGCUAGCUGUGAUGCGUAUCGACCCGCGUCGUAGCGAAGCUAACGCGUUAAGCAUCCCGCCUGUGGAGUACGGCCGCAAGGCUAAAACAUAAAGGAAUUGACGGGGACCCGCACAAGCGGUGGAGCGUGUUGUUUAAUUCGAUGGUAAGCGAAGAACCUUACCCAGGUUUGACAUCCUUGGAAGUUCUGCGAAAGCAGAGUGUGCCUUCGGGAACCAAGUGACAGGUGAUGCAUGGCCGUCUUCAGCUCGUGUCGUGAGACGUUAGGUUAAGUCCUUCAACGAGCGCAACCCUUAUAGUUAGUUGUAUUUUCUAGCUAGACUGCCCUGGUAACAGGGAGGAAGGAGGGGACGAUGUCAGGUCAGUAUCUCCCUUAUAUCUGGGGCUACAAACACGCUACAAUGGCCGGUACAAAGGGAAGCCAACCCGCGAGGGGAGCAAAUCCCAUCAAAGCCGGUCUCAGUUCGGAUUGUAGGCUGAAACUCGCCUGC